rnacentral:rRNA from 1 species
AUUGAACGCUGGCGGCAGGCCUAACACAUGCAAGUCGAGCGGAUGAAGGGAGCUUGCUCCUGGAUUCAGCGGCGGACGGGUGAGUAAUGCCUAGGAAUCUGCCUGGUAGUGGGGGAUAACGUCCGGAAACGGGCGCUAAUACCGCAUACGUCCUGAGGGAGAAAGUGGGGGAUCUUCGGACCUCACGCUAUCAGAUGAGCCUAGGUCGGAUUAGCUAGUUGGUGGGGUAAAGGCCUACCAAGGCGACGAUCCGUAACUGGUCUGAGAGGAUGAUCAGUCACACUGGAACUGAGAUACGGUCCAGACUCCUACGGGAGGCAGCAGUGGGGAAUAUUGGACAAUGGGCGAAAGCCUGAUCCAGCCAUACCGCGUGUGUGAAGAAGGUCUUCGGAUUGUAAAGCACUUUAAGUUGGGAGGAAGGGCAGUAAGUUAAUACCUUGCUGUUUUGACGUUACCAACAGAAUAAGCACCGGCUAACUUCGUG